GAUGAACGCUGGCGGCGUGCCUAAUACAUGCAAGUCGAGCGAACAGACGAGGAGCUUGCUCCUCUGACGUUAGCGGCGGACGGGUGAGUAACACGUGGAUAACCUACCUAUAAGACUGGGAUAACUUCGGGAAACCGGAGCUAAUACCGGAUAAUAUAUUGAACCGCAUGGUUCAAUAGUGAAAGACGGUUUUGCUGUCACUUAUAGAUGGAUCCGCGCCGCAUUAGCUAGUUGGUAAGGUAACGGCUUACCAAGGCAACGAUGCGUAGCCGACCUGAGAGGGUGAUCGGCCACACUGGAACUGAGACGCGGUCCAGACUCCUACGGGAGGCAGCAGUAGGGAAUCUUCCGCAAAGGGCGAAAGCUUGACGGAGCAACGCCGCGUGAGUGAUGAAGGUCUUCGGAUCGUAAAACUCUGUUAUUAGGGAAGAACAAAUGUGUAAGUAACUAUGCACGUCUUGACGGUACCUAAUCAGAAAGCCACGGCUAACUACGUG
rnacentral:rRNA from 1 species